rnacentral:rRNA from 1 species
CACGUAGGUCCCGAGUGUUGUCCGGAUUUAUUGGGCGUAAAGCGAGCGCAGGUGGUUUAUUAAGUCUGGUGUAAAAGGCAGUGGCUCAACCAUUGUAUGCAUUGGAAACUGGUAGACUUGAGUGCAGGAGAGGAGAGUGGAAUUCCAUGUGUAGCGGUGAAAUGCGUAGAUAUAUGGAGGAACACCGGUGGCGAAAGCGGCUCUCUGGCCUGUAACUGACACUGAGGCUCGAAAGCGUGGGGAGCAAACAGG